rnacentral:rRNA from 1 species
GUCAUAUGGAGGAUAUAUGGUCUUAUCUGCCCUAUGUUAAAUGGCUGCAGUAUUAUGACUGUACGAAGGUAGCAUAAUCAGUUGUCUUUUAAUUGGGGACUAGAAUGAAGGGGGUAACCGGGCAUUUGGUUUUAUAAAUUGAAAUUAAAUUAGUAGUAAAAAUUCUGCUAUUUACCCCUAAGACGAGAAGACCCUGGAAGCUUGUGAAGUCUUUUAGUUGGGGAGACUGAGAGAUAGAGAAACUUUUUUAAGUUACUCCAGGGAUAACAGCGUAAUGAGGGAGUGAGUUCUUAUCUAGCCCUUGGAUUGCGACCUCGAUGUUGAAUUAAAGGGGGUAGGAGCUUUAGUCUGUUCGACUAAUGAGAUUUUACA